GGGAUUUACCAGCAGGGGUGCCCUAACCUCUCCUUUUUCUUUCUUCUCUCACUUAUAAUUCAUACUAAUUGGAACUCUCUUGGUUACAAGUGAAAGAAAGCUAACUCAAACUGGUUUCAGCAGCCAAAUGGAAAUACACUAGCUUAUGGAACUAGAUUCACAAAUCAGAUUCAGUCACAGCUGGAUACAGGGGCUCAAAUCACAGCAUCAGGAACUGGAUCCGUUGCCAUCUCUGCUUCUAUCGGAUGUGAUUGCCAUUAAGCAAGAUGCAAAGGUGAACUUCUUGCGACCGCUGACUUCAAGCAACUCUCAGGUUCAAGAAGAAAAAGGGACAAUUAGGUAACAAACUGUAAUAAAAUGUGAUAUGCUUGGGGAAUGCACUCAUGCAUACAUCUCUGAAUAAAUAAAGAAAUAACACACGCAUGAA